rnacentral:rRNA from 1 species
GACGUGGGGCGCGAGCGUUGUCCGGAUUUAUUGGGCGUAAAGAGCUCGUAGGCGGCUUGUCGCGUCGACUGUGAAAACCCGCGGCUCAACUGCGGGCCUGCAGUCGAUACGGGCAGGCUAGAGUUCGGUAGGGGAGACUGGAAUUCCUGGUGUAGCGGUGAAAUGCGCAGAUAUCAGGAGGAACACCGGUGGCGAAGGCGGGUCUCUGGGCCGAUACUGACGCUGAGGAGCGAAAGCGUGGGGAGCGAACAGG